AGCAGAAAGUGAAGUAUUUUAUUCUUAACAUCCCCUGCCGUUGUGCUGCACUUGUUAGAUUUGUUUGCAGCCCGUGUCUGAAUGAGAGACAACUAGGGGUGUCGGGUGAUGGGACAUUAUAACUAAACCGAAGCCUUUUAUUUUGACGUUCGUAAUUACAUUCUGCAACUUGACAUUGUUUAGCGAUUACGUGCAGCUGGCUGUCAGUUAGUUGCAGAUAGCAGUGGUUUAGUGCUGGUAUGAAACGCCAAACUUAGUGAGCUCACGGGGAGAGUGCCUCCGCAGUAAAUUCUACAACUUGUCAAGGCACUUUGUAAAAUGAUUUCCCCUCGCGGCUUGUCUGCUCCUCUAGUCCGGCGACGUCUAGUGGGCUACCUCUAGCCGGUUAACCAGAGAUCGCACUGGCGUCCGGAUCCUUUGUAAGCUGAUCACGUUAUGUCCGUCUGUGCUAAGACUGGAAGUGACUGAAAGACAACACAGAUGCAUUCUUUCAGCAAGGUGACCAAAAUCUGUUUCACUCUGCAGCACUUGUCCUGGAGGUUUUGUAGACAGAACUGGAAGUGACUGAAAGAAAACGGAGACUUAUUCUUUCAGCAAGGUGACCAAAAUCUGUUUCGCUCUGCAGCACUUGUCCCGGAGGCUUUGUAGACAGAGUGACUGAACGAAAACCUAAAUGAGAAAUGCUGUGUACCUCAUCUUGAACUCUUUCACAUGGUGAUUCCUACACAUAAUUGCACACUGUAUGUGUUUAGCUAUCCUAUCUUACAAAGACUUAUUGCCAAUACUGUAUCUGCCUUUCCUCAAUACAAUGUAAAAAGUGCUGCAUAGACCAUUUAGAGAAGCAAUGUCUCAUGACUUUUGCUGUAUGUUUAUUUUUGAUCAAGUUUCAUUUGUUUUGUAAAAUAUCUUUGCAGAUUUUCUUUUCGUGCCUGGACACUUUUUUCCUUUCAAAUAUUGCUUUGAAUUGAUGCAAAUUGAAGAACGUGAAUCCCUGGUAAUAAAGGAAGGUUGACCAGAAAAUAA